rnacentral:tRNA from 1 species
GGCCCCAUCGUCUAGAGGUCUAGGACAUCAGGUUCUCAUCCUGGAAACUCGGGUUCGAAUCCCGAUAGGGCCACAA